CCUACGGGUGGCAGCAGUGAGGAAUAUUGGUCAAUGGGCGGGAGCCUGAACCAGCCAAGCCGCGUGAGGGAAGAAGGUACAGCGUAUCGUAAACCUCUUUUGUCAGGGAACAAAGUCGGGGACUAGUCCCCGGAUGAGGGUACCUUACGAACAAGCAUCGGCUAACUCCGUGCCAGCAGCCGCGGUAAUACGGAGGAUGCGAGCGUUAUCCGGAUGUAUUGGGGUUAAAGGGUGCGCAGGCGGCCUGUUAAGUCAGCGGUAAAAGCCCGGGGCUCAACCGCGGCGAGACGUUGAAACUGGGGGAGUGGAGUAGGGGAGAGGUAAGCGGAAUGCGCGGUGUAGCGGUGAAAUGCUGAGAUAGCGCGCAGAACACCGGUUGCGAAGGCAGCGUACCGGAUCCAAACUGACGCUGAGGCACGAAAGCGUGGGUAUCGAACAGGAUUAGAUACCCGUGUAGUC
rnacentral:rRNA from 1 species